ensembl:lncRNA
UCCACCCUCGCCGCCGACCAUGGCCUAGUAGUCCUCACCCAGAACCCCACUGGACUGAGGAGCAGAUCGGGACUGAGGGGCAGCUCGGGACUGAGGCAGCUCGGGACUGAGGGGAAGCUCAGGAGUGAGAGGAAGCAGCUCAGGAGUGAGAGGAAGCUCAGGCAGGUUGAUGAAUCUACCUGGCUGGCUGGUGGUUUCGGCAGAUCCUGGCUGACUGGCAGAUCCUGGCUGACUGGCAGAUCUGGAAGAGUCUGGUCGACUGGCAGAUCUGGAAGAGUCUGGUCGACUGGCAGAUCUGGAAGAGUCUGGUCGACUGGCAGAUCUGGAAGAGUCUGGUCGACUGGCAGAUCUGGAAGAGUCUGGUCGACUGGCAGAUCUGGAAGAGUCUGGUCGACUGGCAGAUCUGGAAGAGUCUGGUCGACUGGCAGAUCUGGAAGAGUCUGGUCGACUGGCAGAUCUGGAAGAGUCUGGUCGACUGGCAGAUCUGGAAGAGUCUGGUCGACUGGCAGAUCUGGAAGAGUCUGGUCGACUGGCAGAUCUGGAAGAGUCUGGUCGACUGGCAGAUCUGGAAGAGUCUGGUCGACUGGCGGAUCUGGAAGAGUCUGGUCGACUGGCGGAUCUGGAAGAGUCUGGUCGACUGGCGGAUCUGGAAGAGUCUGGUCGACUGGCGGAUCUGGAAGAGUCUGGUCGACUGGCGGAUCUGGAAGAGUCUGGUCGACUGGCGGAUCUGGAAGAGUCUGGUCGACUGGCGGAUCUGGGAGAGUCUGGUCGACUGGCGGAUCUGGGAGAGUCUGGUCGACUGGCGGAUCUGGGAGAGUCUGGUCGACUGGCGGAUCUGGGAGAGUCUGGUCGACUGGCGGAUCUGGGAGAGUCUGGUCGACUGGCAGAUCUGGGAGAGUCUGGUCGACUGGCAGAUCUGGGAGAGUCUGGUCGACUGGCAGAUCUGGGAGAGUCUGGUCGACUGGCAGAUCUGGGAGAGUCUGGUCGACUGGCAGAUCUGGAAGAGUCUGGUCGACUGGCAGAUCUGGAAGAGUCUGGUCGACUGGCAGAUCUGGAAGAGUCUGGUCGACUGGCAGAUCUGGAAGAGUCUGGUCGACUGGCAGCUCUGGCUGCUCCAUGCUGACUGGCUGCUCCAUGAUGACUGGCAGCUCUGGCUGCUCCAUGCUGACUGGCUGCUCCAUGCUGACUGGCAGCUCUGGCUGCUCCAUGCUGACUGGCUGCUCUGGCUGCACCAUGCUGAUUGGCUGCUCCAUGCUGACUGGCUGCUCCAUGCUGACUGGCGGCCCUGGCUGCUCCAUGCUGACUGGCGGCCCUGGCUGCUCCAUGCAGACUGGCAGCUCUGGCGGCUCCUUGCAGACUGGCAGCUCUGGCGGCUCCUUGCAGACUGGCAGCUCUGGCGGCUCCUUGCAGACUGGCAGCUCUGGCGGCUCCUUGCAGACUGGCAGCUUUGGCGGCAUCCUGCAGACAGGCAGCUCUGGCGGCUCCUUGCAGACUGGCAGCUCCUUGCAGACUGGCAGCUCUAUGCAGACUGGCAGCUCCUUGCAGACUGGCAGCUCUAUGCUAACUGGCAGCUCUAUGCUAACUGGCAGCUCUAUGCUAACUGGCAGCUCUAUGCUAACUGGCAGUUCUGAACAGGCGGGAGACUCCGGCAGCGCUGUAGAGAAGGAAGGCUCUAACAGCGCUAAACAGGCGGGAGACUCCGACAGCGCUGGAGAGGAGGAGGGCUCCGACAGCGCUGGAGAGGCGAGGCACACUAUAGGCCUGAUGCGUGGUGCUGGCACUGGUGGUACUGGGCCGAGGACACGCACAGGAAGCCUUGUGCGGGGAGCUGCUACCGGAGGGCUGGGGUGUGGAGGUGGCACAGGAUGGGUUAGACCGUGA